GGGGGCGUAUUGGUUUCGACGGGGUCGUUGAGAUCAGUGCAGCGGGUAGAGGAUUCUCGUUGGCCUCUUAAAAAACGAGAAACUAAAAUUAAACGCUAAAAACGAUAAUUUCGCUUUAGCUGCUGCCUAAUAUAGGCGGCCCGUCAGUCCGGGGUUCCUGCACCUCGGGUAGCUGGCGUCAUUAAGUCAGGCCUUAGGAAGGGGAAGGUCAAAUUCCGGGACUGGUUCAGUGGUAGCCUUGAGCUGAGCCCGAUUAAAAGGCUACCGAAAGCGGAACUUUGAUUGUAGAGGUCCGCCGUAGGGAAAAGCAGUGCUAAAGUCCGCAAGGAUACUGAGCAACGCACAAAGUACAAUCUACACCCGUAGAAGCGCUGGAGGAUAUGGUUUCGGACAGGGGUUCGACUCCCCUCGCCUCCACCA
rnacentral:tmRNA from 1 species